AAAUUCAUAAAGACCAACUAUUGUUUGAGUUCCGGAGUUUGAUCCAGUAUGCCUUUUGGGCAUUGCCCUGAAAAAGGAGCUUCCUUCCAACUGGUUGAAGACAACUCAAUGCGGCCCCCAGUCAGGUCAUGAUUGAGUACCCAUGUGGGUUUCUGCAUAACGGAUUGGGUUAUACAUGAACUCCCCCUGAUAUAACAAUUUGGUUAUGCAUCCUUAGUCAUUUGGCUGUUCUAUGUAUACAGGUUGGGUUAUGCAUGAAUAGCCAAAUGGUUUUCUACCUAGCCACAAAAGUUUAUGGCAAUGGUUCUGUACAAGAAAACCGGAAGAGUGGGGG